AUUGAACGCUGGCGGCAUGCCUUACACAUGCAAGUCGAACGGUAACAGGUUAAGCUGACGAGUGGCGAACGGGUGAGUAAUGUAUCGGAACGUGCCCAGUCGUGGGGGAUAACUGCUCGAAAGAGCAGCUAAUACCGCAUACGACCUGAGGGUGAAAGCGGGGGAUCGCAAGACCUCGCGCGAUUGGAGCGGCCGAUAUCAGAUUAGGUAGUUGGUGAGGUAAAGGCUCACCAAGCCGACGAUCUGUAGCUGGUCUGAGAGGACGACCAGCCACACGGGGACUGAGACACGGCCCAGCCUCCUACGGGAGGCAGCAGUGGGGACUUUUGGACAAUGGGCGCAAGCCUGAUCCAGCCAUGCCGCGUGCGGGAAGAAGGCCUUCGGGUUGUAAACCGCUUUUGUCAGGGAAGAAAAGGUUCUGGCUAAUACCUGGGACUCAUGACGGUACCUGAAGAAUAAGCACCGGCUAACUACGUGCCAGCCGCCGCGGUAA
rnacentral:rRNA from 1 species